AACGAACGCUGGCGGCGUGGCUAAGACAUGCAAGUCGAACGGACUGUUCAAUUUAUUGUUCAGUUAGUGGCGAAAGGGUUAGUAACGGGUAGGUAACGUACCCUGUGCAUUGGGAUAGCGUCAGUAACUUCGGUUACUUUCCGAAAGGGGCGGUAAUACCAAAUAAUAUCAUUUGUCGAUAGGCGAAUGAUCAAAGAUUUAUCGGCGCAGGAGCGGCCUGCCUCCUAUCAGCUUGUUGGUGAGGUAAUGGCUCACCAAGGCAUCGACGGGUAGCGGGACUGAGAGGUUGGCCCGCAACAUCGGGACUGAGACACUGCCCGGACCUCCACGGAGGGCUGCAGUAACGAAUAUUGUGCAAUGGGCGAAAGCCUGACACAGCGACGCCGCGUGUAGGAGGAAGUCCUUCGGGAUGUAAACUACUGUCAGGGGGAAGAAAGUGCGCUUCGGCGCAUUGAUCUAACCCAAAGGAAGUCACGGCUAACUUCGUGCCAGCAGCCGCGGUAAGGCGAAGGUAGCAAGCGUUGUUCGGUAUUACUGGGCUUAAAGCGUGUGUAGGCGGAAAAUUAAGCGUUAUGUGAAAUCCCCCGGCUUAACCGGGGAACUGCAUAACGAACUGAUUUUCUUGAGGCAAGUAGGGGUGCAUGGAACUCUUGGCGGAGCGGUGGAAUGCGUAGAUAUCAAGAGGAACGCCAGCGGAGAAAUCGGUGCACUGGGCUUGUCCUGACGCUGAGACACGAAAGCGUGGGUAGCGAACGGGAUUAGAUACCCCGGUAGUCCACGCCGUAAACGAUGCCUACUAGGUUGUGAAAGUUCUGACACUGGCACAGCCGAAGCAAAAGUGUUAAGUAGGCCGCCUGGGGAGUACGGUCGCAAGGCUA
rnacentral:rRNA from 1 species